rnacentral:rRNA from 1 species
UACGGAGGGGGCUAGCGUUGUUCGGAAUUACUGGGCGUAAAGGGCGCGUAGGCGGCGCGAUAAGUUGGGCGUGAAAGGCCCGGGCUCAACCCGGGGACUGCGCUUGAUACUGUCGCGCCGUGAGUCCGGGAGAGGAUGGCGGAAUUCCCAGUGUAGAGGUGAAAUUCGUAGAUAUUGGGAAGAACACCGGUGGCGAAGGCAGCCAUCUGGACCGGCACUGACGCUGAGGCGCGAAAGCGUGGGGAGCAAACAGG